AGUGUAGGCGGCUUCGUAAGUCGGAUGUGAAAGCCCUGGGCUUAACCUGGGAAUGGCAUUCGAUACUGCGCGGCUAGAGUCUGAUAGAGGGAUGUGGAAUUCCAGGUGUAGCGGUGAAAUGCGUAGAGAUCUGGAGGAACACCAGUGGCGAAGGCGGCAUCCUGGAUCAAGACUGACGCUGAGGCUCGAAAGCGUGGGGAGCAAACAGGAUUAGAUACCCUGGUAGUC
rnacentral:rRNA from 1 species